rnacentral:rRNA from 1 species
GGUCUCGCGCCGCCGGUUCCUCGUCCGCGGUGUUAACUGGCGUGAAGCGAGACGUCCUGCCGGUGGAUUUAGCCGUUGGCCGAUUUCGAUUCGCGGGAGCUUCGGCGAACGCGCGUUGGCGGUCCAGCGGCGGUCCAACUCAAUCCUGCCGCGGUGCUCUUCACUGAGUGUCGAGGUGGGCCGGCACGUUUACUUUGAACAAAUUAGAGUGCUUAAAGCAGGCUAAAAUUUCGCCUGAAUAUUGUGUGCAUGGAAUAAUGGAAUAGGACCUCGGUUCUAUUUUGUUGGUUUUCGGAACCCCGAGGUAAUGAUUAAUAGGAACGGAUGGGGGCAUUCGUAUUGCGACGUUAGAGGUGAAAUUCUUGGAUCGUCGCAAGACGAACGGAAGCGAAAGCAUUUGCCAAAAACGCUUUCAUUGAUCAAGAACGA